rnacentral:tRNA from 1 species
CAGAAAAUAGUUUAUAAAAAUAUUAAUUUUGGAGAUUAAAGUAAAGAAAAGUUUCUUUUUUCUGA